CCCUUAGAUGUUCUGGGACGCACGCGCGCUACACUGACGACUUCAACGAGUUUUUUUCAUUUGAAAAAGUCCUUGGCCGGAAGGUCUGGGUAAUCUUUUAAAAGGUCGUCGUGAUGGGGCUAGAUUCUUGCAAUUAUUAAUCUCCAACGAGGAAUUCCUAGUAAACGCAAGUCAUCAACUUGCAUUGAUUACGUCCCUGCCCUUUGUACACACCGCCCGUCGCACCUACCGAUUGAACGUUCCGGUGAGACCUUGGGAUUUGGUCUUUGAUACUUUAUUGUGUCGUUGACCGAAAAACUUGAGCAAACCUUAACGUUUAGAGGAAGGUGAAGUCGUAACA
rnacentral:rRNA from 1 species